rnacentral:miRNA from 1 species
GUAGGAAAUGACAUCAGUGGC